rnacentral:lncRNA from 1 species
GUAUUAUGAAUAAUUUUCCUGGGAAGAGCUGCUGUGUGUUCUGGUGAACAUGUACAAGAAUUUUACUUGACUGUCAUGGGAUUAUUGAUUAUCCUACUAGUAGCAUUCUUUUUAAAAACCAUCCUGUUGUUUUCCAGGCUGCUUGUAAAAAUUUACAUCAGCAAUAUAUAAAAGAUUCCUUUGUUCUACAUCCUGUUUAGUACUGUUUAUUGUUGCAAGGAGACUUUUUUUAGUUAAUGAUGGCGAAAAGGAAAGAGCAGAACUUGAACUAUGUUUCUCUAACUUAUCCUUUCACAGCUAAGAUCACCACUCUUUCCUCAAACUAUAACCAGUACCAUCUCACCAUCACUCAUCACUCACACACAAACACAGUCAAGACAACAGC